GAUAUAUUUGUAUAUAAAAUUUUGAAAUCAAUGAUAUAAUAUAGACAACUGUAACGAAAGUUUAUUAUGUAAAACCUAUUCACAAUAUUAAGUACUAGGAUGAGACCUGCGCCUUGCGCAGGGUGUAAAUAAUAUUUGUUUUUUUUUCUCGAAACAUAUUCACGGUUUCAUAACAUUUUGAAAUCUAUGAUAUAAUAUAGACAACUGUAACGAAAGUUUAUUAUGUGAAACCUAUUCACAAUAUUAACUACUGAGACCUGCGCCUUGCGUAUGGUAAAAAUAAUAUUUUUUUUUUCUCGAAACAUUUUCACGGUUUCAUAACAAAAAUUAUAAAUAAAUACAGAUCAAUAAUAAGGCAUAAAAAUUAUGUAUAAUUUAUGAAAAAAAUUAUUAUAUAAAGAAGGGUUUCCUUUACUCUCAGUCCUCCACGUCACUAAUUCAUCUCUUCCUAGCUUGACACGUGUUUCUUUUUUAAUUUUCUACGUUUUGGGCUUUUAUUCGUGGGCUUAAUGAAUUGAAUCGAAUGGGCCUUUGAAGUUUGUAACGUGAUCUGGUCAAAACCUAUUUUCUAAACCGGACAAAGGCACUCUUCGUCUUCAACAAUUUCCAUCUUCGUUUUCUAGGGUUCUUGGUGUUCUUCACCUUCAACUUUCGAAAACCGACCAUGGAGUUUGUUGAAGAUGAUGGGAGAUGAGUUUUUAUGGCUGUCUCUGUGGCGUUAACCUUUUCGUGUCCUUUGGAUUGGAUUUCUUACGCGAGGUAAGGGAAAUUCGAAUCGUUACGGGAUACACAAGAUGCAAUCAAUAGUUUUCGUUAUCGAUCGUCUUAACUCCUUAAUCCCACUUUUACCACGCUUCCUCAUUCAAUGUAUCUGCCCUCUCUUACAGUCGGUGAAUUUCCAUGUGUAAAAAGAACGGCUAACUUAUCUCUCCUCCUUGCUGACUUUAACCAGUUGCUGAAGCAUCGCCGUCGUCCUCUCAGAUUUUGGGAGACCAGAUAUGUGAAUAGAGACGGAAAGCUUACAGUGGUCGAAAUGCUUCUUGACGCUUAGAUGCCAGACGCUUACGUACCUCAGGCUAUUUUGAAAAACAAACGCCUCCCUUUUCCUUUAGGAUUUAUAGGUAACGUUAUGAUUAAUAUUCUAUGGUUGAUGGUGUUCUGGAGAUUCUGAUUUCAUAAAUCGACCAUGGAGUUUUCAAAAGGUCCAUAGAGGUCUUACCACAAUGUACCAAACAUUGCAACAUUAGUUGAUAAAUAAAAUUUAAAAACACAUGUCCACUGAAUCACUUUUAUUUUUUGAAUCUUAUCUUAUUAUAUAAAGAAGACUAUUUCUCAUUCUCCUUGCGCCACGUUACUAAAUAGAAGAAGAAGGGAAUGCCAUGUGGCGCUGAUAAUAAUAGGCGAGCUUUGAUUCUUCUCGGGUUUUAAAGGGGCUUCAUAUGUUGUCAUGCUUCUAAUUUUUUAAGGGCCUGAAUUGGACUCGAAUUUAGGCCUUCUAUAGAUAAGGUCUUCCUCUUGGACAUUCUGCUGUCUCCACAAAAAUUUCUCUCGCCCUAAGUUCUGAUUCAGUUCAGUUUACCUGUGAAAAAAAAUCUGGAAACGUUACGUAGUUACUCAGAAUCGAAGCCUCACCUUCAACGACCUUAUUAACAAUUCUUCUCCACUCCUCACACUAUCUAUCACUAAAUGCAUCCUCCUUUACUUCAUUUCUCAGAAUCUUUGACUAUAAAAAGAUUGACAGAGGAUACCCGCGCGAUUUCAUGGAAGUUGGGAGAGUUGUAGUUCAGUUGAAAAGGGAGGAUGAGACUUUACUCAAUCCUGCCAUUAAUUCAAGUAACAUCACCUCACGUGAACCGAGCUUCUGGUUAUGUGUAUACCUGUCUAAAAGUUAGAAGUCCGUCUUCAUUCACCCAGAAAAUACUAACAUGGAUGGGACUUUCUUUCUGUUCUUUAGACUGGUUGUGAGGGACCUAAAACCAAUCCCAAGUUAUUAAUUGUUCUUCAAAUGACUUUGCUUACGUUAAUCAUCCUAUCCUUAUCCCCAUGAAAAGAGUGAGUAUUUGAUAUCCAAAUCAUAUUCUCAUGCCUAUGAAAGACUGAACAUUUGAUAUCAAUUUGACUUUCCAGCUUUACAUGCGGCGAGGUGUUUAAAUACAUGAUAUGUUCACUGUCUUGAAAUAUUUUUGGGAAGCAAUUGCUGCAGAUAAUUGCAGAGUUGGUACCGAGACAUCCUAGAAAGUGAAGAAGCAGGAAUCUCAGAAAGUGAAGUGUCAGAAACCUCAUGCCACAAAUUCAACCGCUGGAACUUCUUCAAAGUCAGGCUAAGGUGGCAAGAAGAAGUGAUAAGCAAGUCCUCUCUAUCUCUUUUAUUAAUUUUCUUGGACAUCGCAUCAGCUUCUACGGUUUGUUAAUGUCCAAAACUUGCUGAAACCCAAGUUGUGUUUGCUGAUGUAAAAAAAUUUGUUGGUUUCAUCACGAAUGACGAGUGUCAAAAACAAAAGAAAUAUAAAAUAUUAUUAGCUGUUGUGUCUGCGUUAUCAACGUUUUUCUUUUUUUCCUUCACUAACUAUUAGAAAACACUGUUUUUUUUUUUGAGCAAACUUAGAAAACACUGUUUAUUUCAACUAUUCAAACGAUAAAUUUAAGAUAUCUUCCCAUAACAAUUAACAAAAUAGCGCUUGGACAUUAACAAAGCACUAUAUCAGUCAGAUAUGAAUUUGACCCCCUUUGUGCUUGAAGAAGUUCUUGAUUAUGUAAAAUAUACUAUUGUAGAUGAUCUUUGGUCAGCACAAUUUUAAUGACUCUACACGAUUUUCCAUUGCGUGAAUUGCAUAUUUAAAUUGUUUUCUUAAAGUGUUGAUAUGUACUUCAUGCAUUCAUAUGUCUGUUGUCAGUUUUCUAGGCUGGUGAUCUUUUUGCGUCAGCCCGUAGACACCCUCGAGGCUCCUUUGCUGCAGGAAGAGAAAUCUAUUGAUCCAACAAAGCAAGUAUAGCUUGGAUUCCUCACUGGGCUGGUGCCUCGCGAAAAGUCUAUGAUGUUUGAGAGGAUCUUAUUUAGCUCAACUUGGGCAAUAUCUUAAUAUGACAGUCUGUCAUUGAGGAGUUCGUUGUUGGUACCAACUCUGGGGAGAAGAUUAACUUCUUAGUUUCUACUCUUAGCUUCUUAGACCUUAAAAGUGCAGCCUUUUUUCUAUUGUAGGAGUUUGGCUGCUUUUUAAUGUAUAUAAUAUUUUCUCCCAUAGGCUUAUAGUUAGACUCUAAAUUCUAUAUGUAAUUUAUACGUUCUCAUCUGCAUUUGUUUAUAUUUGACAUUGGUUUGGCCCUGUUGUUUUAUUUUGUUUUGUUGAUCUACCUAGCCAAGAAUAGUUUUACAA